GAUGAACGCUGGCGGCGUGCCUAAUACAUGCAAGUCGAGCGAACGGACGAGAAGCUUGCUUUUCUGAUGUUAGCGGCGGACGGGUGAGUAACACGUGGAUAACCUACCUAUAAGACUGGGAUAACUUCGGGAAACCGGAGCUAAUACCGGAUAAUAUUUUGAACCGCAUGGUUCAAAAGUGAAAGACGGUUUUGCUGUCACUUAUAGAUGGAUCCGCGCUGCAUUAGCUAGUUGGUAAGGUAACGGCUUACCAAGGCAACGAUGCAUAGCCGACCUGAGAGGGUGAUCGGCCACACUGGAACUGAGACACGGUCCAGACUCCUACGGGAGGCAGCAGUAGGGAAUCUUCCGCAAUGGGCGAAAGCCUGACGGAGCAACGCCGCGUGAGUGAUGAAGGUCUUCGGAUCGUAAAACUCUGUUAUUAGGGAAGAACAUAUGUGUAAGUAACUAUGCACAUCUUGACGGUACCUAAUCAGAAAGCCACGGCUAACUACGUG
rnacentral:rRNA from 1 species